AGAACGAACGCUGGCGGCAUGCCUAACACAUGCAAGUCGAACGAGACCUUCGGGUCUAGUGGCGCACGGGUGCGUAACGCGUGGGAAUCUGCCCUUAGGCACGGAAUAACAGUGAGAAAUUACUGCUAAUACCGUAUGAUGUCUUCGGACCAAAGAUUUAUCGCCUAGGGAUGAGCCCGCGUAGGAUUAGCUAGUUGGUGGGGUAAAGGCCUACCAAGGCGACGAUCCUUAGCUGGUCUGAGAGGAUGAUCAGCCACACUGGGACUGAGACACGGCCCAGACUCCUACGGGAGGCAGCAGUGGGGAAUAUUGGACAAUGGGCGAAAGCCUGAUCCAGCAAUGCCGCGUGAGUGAAGAAGGCCUUCGGGUUGUAAAGCUCUUUUACCCGGGAAGAUAAUGACUGUACCGGGAGAAUAAGCCCCGGCUAACUUCGUGCCAGCAGCCGC
rnacentral:rRNA from 1 species